rnacentral:rRNA from 1 species
UACGGGGGGGGCAAGCGUUGUUCGGAAUUACUGGGCGUAAAGGGCUCGUAGGUGGCCAACUAAGUCAGACGUGAAAUCCCUCGGCUUAACCGGGGAACUGCGUCUGAUACUGGUUGGCUUGAGUUUGGGAGAGGGAUGCGGAAUUCCAGGUGUAGCGGUGAAAUGCGUAGAUAUCUGGAGGAACACCGGUGGCGAAGGCGGCAGCCUGGACCAACACUGACGCUGAGGAGCGAAAGCCAGGGGAGCAAACGGG